ensembl:lncRNA
UUGUUGUUUUUUUUUUUUUUUUUUUUUUUUUUUUUUUUUUUUAUUAAAAAAAUUCUUUCCAAGUACCCAGUGAAACCUGCUAAAGUACCCUCUGGUGUAAACAUACCCCUGGUUUGGAAUCAACGAUGUGAUGGACAAACAAGCACAAACUUGGCAAUAUCUGCAUCAAAUCUCCCAGAGCCGGGACGAGAGCAUCGCUCACAGAUUUAUGAAGAAUCCAGAAAUGUGUCUCAUCAUUAUGAAGGAAGGGCCAGCCUGUGGGUUUGUGGGGCCUCAAGUCAGAUCAUCGAAAGAAUGGCCAUAACAUAAUAACAUCUAUAGAACCUCUGCAAUGUGAUGAGUAGUUUUCUUCUUUUUAAGAUAAAACACUAGAAAUAAUCACAGUGUACAUACAUUUCUGUAAAAAGCUAUUUCUGCCACAUCUCUCCCUGAAAAAUAAAUAAAUAAAUUGUUUAUUUGGAGUAACUCA